rnacentral:rRNA from 1 species
GACGAACGCUGGCGGCGUGCUUAACACAUGCAAGUCGAACGGAAAGGCCCUGCUUUUGUGGGGUGCUCGAGUGGCGAACGGGUGAGUAACACGUGAGUAACCUGCCCUUGACUUUGGGAUAACUUCAGGAAACUGGGGCUCAUACCGGAUAGGAGCUCCUGCUGCAUGGUGGGGGUUGGAAAGUUUCGGCGGUUGGGGCUGGACUCGCGGCUUAUCAGCUUGUUGGUGGGGUAGUGGCUUUCCAAGGCUUUGACGGGUAGCCGGCCUGAGAGGGUGACCGGCCACAUUGGGACUGAGAUACGGCCCAGACUCCUACGGGAGGCAGCAGUGGGGAAUAUUGCGCAAUGGGCGGGAGCCUGAUGCAGCAACGCCGCGUGCGGGAUGACGGCCUUCUGGUUGUAAACCGCUUUCUCCUGUGACGAAGCGUGAGUGACGGUAAUGGGUAAAGAAGCACCGGCUAACUACGUG